rnacentral:rRNA from 1 species
GACGUAGGGGGCCAGCGUUGUUCGGAAUUACUGGGUGUAAAGGGUUCGUAGGCGGUGCGGCAAGUCGGGAGUGAAAUCUCUGGGCUUAACCCAGAGGCUGCUUCCGAAACUGCUGUGCUUGAGUGUGGGAGAGGCGCGUGGAAUUGCAGGUGUAGCGGUGAAAUGCGUAGAUAUCAGGAGGAACACCUAUUGCGAAGGCAGCUCGCUGGGACGUAACUGACGCUGAGACGCGAAAGCGUGGGGAGCAAACAGG